GUUUUUCAUUUUUUUCGUUUAUUGGUUUUUUCUUGGAUUUCUAGGAUGAUUAAUGUUGCAAAUUGUAUGAUUGAAGGUUUUAUAUUCCAUAUGUGUUGUAAAUCUAUUUCUGAAAAAACAGCUUGUAUUCUAGAAUUUAAUUUUUAUAUUUACUAACCAUCUUACUUCUAUCUGACAUUGUAUUAUUAUGUUAUCUGUUGGUUGUACUUAUAGUUAAGUUAUAUAAGCUCUGGGUCUGACCUCUCCAAGUCUAAUAACCAUUCCUAAAGAUUUAUCUUCUUUUUUUUUUUUUCCUAGUAAAUUUCUCUGGCUUUUAUUUUAUACUAGUAGUGGUCAUUUUGAUUUUCAUGAAGCUUAUUUUAUAGACUUCCCAUAUAUGCUACAUGCUCUCUAUUUUGCCAAUGGUAUUCAUCAAAAUAUAUAGAAUAGUGAGUUUCUUACUGAUAUCAGCAUCCAAAUAGAGGCUUAUGAUGAAGAAGCAUGAGCGUGUAUGGUGGAAUUUAAUUGAUCCUCUAUGAAAUUUAUUUCAUUUAUUUGUCUUUAAUUUGUAAAUGUUUGUCACUUCAGAUUGUGAUUCUAAGUGGACUUUAAGCCACCUUUUAUUUUAAUAACCUCAGUGCCGGUUACAUCGUCCACUCCAUCAAAUCUGGAUCUCAGUUCUCUAGAUGAGUCUGUGGUCGAUUCGAGCAAGACAGAGAGUGACGGAGAGGAUUAUCUCAUUGGCUUGACGAAGAGCAUAGGUGUUCCUCCGGACCAACAAUCUCCAACUCUCCAAAGAUCAUCAGUUGCAUCCCAUCAAGAAACAAACAAAUCGGUUUAAUCCUGGUGUUUGAGGACAUUUUGUGUAGAAAGAAUUACAUUUGAACAACCGCAUUUUUUGCAAGUGUUGUAGGAUAUUUGCUAACACGUUGGAACUUUGAUUAUGUAAUUAACUUAGUUUGGGCAGUUGUUUUAUUCUUAGGAUCACAUCUUUUUGUCAAUCUAAUGAUGAUGAUAUUGUAGACACUGUUAUGUAUAUUGAUAAUAUAUUUCUCUAUUUGAUCCUAUGUUAAUAUUGUGUUAGUUUGGAGACA